rnacentral:rRNA from 1 species
GGCAGGUACAUUAGCCAUAAGUGAAACUUGACUUAGUUAAAGCUAAGAGGGUCGGUAAAACUCGUGCCAGCCACCGCGGUUAUACGAGAGACCCAAGUUGUUAGACAACGGCGUAAAGAGUGGUUAAGAUUUAAUCAAGACUAAAGCCGAACGCCCUCAGAGCUGUUAUACGCACCCGAAGGUAAGAAGCCCAACCACGAAAGUGGCUUUACACUAUCCGAACCCACGAAAGCUAUGACACAAACUGGGAUUAGAUACCCCACUAUGCAUAGCCAUAAACAUUGAUAGUAAACUACACCUACUAUCCGCCUGGGGACUACGAGCAUCAGCUUGAAACCCAAAGGACUUGGCGGUGCUUUAGAUCCACCUAGAGGAGCCUGUUCUAGAACCGAUUACCCCCGUUCAACCUCACCUUUUCUUGUUUUCCCCGCCUAUAUACCACCGUCGUCAGCUUACCCUGUGAAGGACCUAUAGUAAGCAAGAUUGGCAUAGCCCAAAACGUCAGGUCGAGUAG